UACGUAGGGACCAAGCGUUGUUCGGAUUUACUGGGCGUAAAGGGGCGCGUAGGCGGCGUGGUAAGUCAAUUGUGAAAUCUCCGAGCUUAACUCGGAACGGUCAAUUGAUACUGCUGUGCUAGAGUACAGAAGGGGGCAAUCGGAAUUCUUGGUGUAGCGGUGAAAUGCGCAGAUAUCGGGAGGAACACCAGUGGCGAAGGCGGCACUCUGGGCCGGAACUGACGCUGAGGAGCGAAAGCGUGGGGAGCGAACAGG
rnacentral:rRNA from 1 species